CCCCUCUCAGGGUCACAUCUGGAGAGUUUCCAGUCCUCUACCAGUCUUGGCUAUGGGAUGGAGACUCAAGCAGAGGCCUACCCAUUCCAUUCCUAGCUUGGGCGGUGGCUAAAGAGUGGAAGACAAUCUGCUACGAGU